GACGAACGCUGGCGGCGUGCUUAACACAUGCAAGUCGAACGGAAAGGCCCUGCUUGCAGGGUCCUCGAGUGGCGAACGGGUGAGUAACACGUGGGUGAUCUGCCCUGCACUUCGGGAUAAGCUUGGGAAACUGGGUCUAAUACCGGAUAGGAACCAUCUUUAGUGUGGUGGUUGGAAAGUUUUUUCGGUGUAGGAUGAGCUCGCGGCCUAUCAGCUUGUUGGUGGGGUAAUGGCCUACCAAGGCGGCGACGGGUAGCCGGCCUGAGAGGGUGUACGGCCACAUUGGGACUGAGAUACGGCCCAGACUCCUACGGGAGGCAGCAGUGGGGAAUAUUGCACAAUGGGCGCAAGCCUGAUGCAGCGACGCCGCGUGGGGGAUGAAGGCCUUCGGGUUGUAAACUCCUUUCGCUAGGGACGAAGCUUUGUUGUGACGGUACCUAGAUAAGAAGCACCGGCUAACUACGUG
rnacentral:rRNA from 1 species